ACUCGGAGCCUGCUGCAUCCACAGUCCCGCACCUAGAGUCCCGCAUUUUCAGACCCCUCGUUUUUCGAGACAGCGCCUCCUAUCAAAUUGGAUCGGAAAAACACAUGGAUAAACACGUGAAUAACCGAAACGUGAGUAUCGUCAAUCUUAAAAUGAUUUCGUCAAAAUUAUUUCUUUUUUAAUCAAACUACUUUAAAGCUCAUCGAUACACCAACAUAUGAACAGUCUAUUUAAUAUUUGUAAUGAUAGUUUGUAACAAAAUUUGAGCCGUUAAUGUAUGUUUUUUCGCCUUUUUCCCCCGAAAAUAUUUUGAUAGCUAACGUUAACCUUGGACUUUUUGUAGACAAGCCAUUGUAAAAAAAAUAUUAAAAUUAGUUGACAUUAAAGUAGACCAAUUAAAUACAUUAAGUGUGUUAAUAUCAAAGAAUUUCAUCAUUAAUUAUUUAAUCAGAUUUACCUUUUUUUAAUUACCGGACCCUUUCUCCUAAAACUAUAAAUUGAACAAAUUAAUGCCGAAGUAAUUAUUUUACUUUAUAUAAUUUAUGUAGACUACUUAAAUUAGUUCUUAUAAAACGUAAGUAUUAAAAUGGAUCAAUAUUAAUUUAACUGUGAUAUGAAGUUGUUGCCAGCCAUUUACAACUCAUAGGCUACAGUUGCCUAAUAAUCAAAUUUGCUAUGCCUUCACUAUGUAUUAACCAGUCUAUGGUAUUAACAUGUGAGCUAGAAUGUGUCAUUUGGCCUUUUUUGGGGGUUCCUUGUUUUAAUUUGUAUUGACUGAAAUUUGACUAUGGGCUCUGUGGGGUGGUCUUAAAUUUUGAAUUUGAGUUUGACUCUCUCUUCUUUUUUUUUUGAAGAUGGAUAUAACAAUUCAAACGGGGAAAUCACUUCCAGAAUUACAGAAAUGUAAUAAAUGCUGCAGUGAUUUUCACUGCCCAUUCUGUGCCCCGAUAUAUUUCAAACCGACAAAGUUGUCCAAAGUUUAUUUUGAUUGGAUUGUUUCUAUUAUUGCCAUAUAUGAAAUGUUUUAUACAUUAAUUAAUUAAUGUAUUUAUUUAUAUGGACAGGCCAUCAUUCAUGGCCUAUGUGAGCUGCAGGCAUUAUCCUGGCAGGAGGCUGAGGAGGUGUUCCUUCGUGGCCCUACUUAUCACCCUAGUGAAGUUGAGGAAUUUGACCGGGUGAUUGCAAAAAGAAUGAGAAAAGAAGCAACAUUUGCCUACCAGAAACAAGAUGACAGUGAUUAAGGCGAUCGUUAAAUAAAGUACAGAAUUGUUUAUUAUUGGUGUUUUGUCUAUUAUUUGAGUUUUGCUUCACAUUCAAAAUAUCAAAAAACAGGUUUUGUAAUGUUAGCAUGGUAUAAUGUUAAUUAGACCAUUAUAUGUUGAACUGAAAGAAAAAAUGGAAUUUGAAACAUUGUACAAAAACAAACAUUGUAGCAAUAUAAUAUCACAUAAUAUUUUUCAGAAGAUAGUUCAAUCUGUAUGUGUAUCCGUUACAUCAAUAAUUUCCUUUCAAUUACACCCACGCUCAAAAAAUAAAUACUGGGUAAUUAGUUAGUUUGAGAACACAAUGAUUUUUUUUUUUUUGCCACAUGCAUUAAGCAGGGAACGCAAAUAUUUAUUUGGAUAACUUUAAAUAAAAAGAGACCGUAAUACUGCAUUCUAAUGUUUUCAAUGGCAUCUGGGUGCGGUUGGAUAAGGGUGUUAUACGAUCUUCCGAACAGCAGGAGGC